CACAAUGAACCAUUGAAUCCUAAUCUUCUGUAUUUCCUCCCCCGUUCCGGCACCGUCGCCGCCACCCCCGAGCAUAACCGCCUCAUUGGGUGCCCCAUUCUCUCCGUCUAUCGUGUCAUCUCCGUGCUCGAAAGCAUCGCCGCCACCGUCGUCAAAAGCAGCACCGCCUUCCUCACGGUAUCCUUCCCUCAUAUGAAAUUGCGUUGCAGAAUCCCUUAUCCACUCUGCAGUAACCACCAAGUGUGAUGAACAUGAAUUAAAUGGCUUCCUUAACUUGUUCAUCGUCUUCAUCCUUCUCACCAAAGCUUCCUCUUCAUUCCUCAACACCUCUAAAAAGAGCAAGAAGAAGAAGCAAACACGAUUUUCUAAGAAUGGUGACUCGUUCCUGUCUCGAUGACAGUUCAGCACUUCUCCGAGCAGCUUAAUACACUAUUUUAGGGUUACUAGGCUUAUGUUGGGAUUAAAACUCCCUUUUUUAUUUUAAUGGCACCCCAAGAAUGACAUCCUUGAAUUUAUCUUCAAGAGGACUCACUGGACACAUCGCAGUUUAUAUCUCCAAGCUUACUGAGUUAGAGUCCUUGAAUUUAUCAAAUAAUAGCUUAAUUGCGGAGAUACCUGUUUUUCUGAUAGAAAACCUGCCAUCGCUUAGAGUCCUAAACUUGCCGAAUAACAACCUCACAGGUCUAAUUCCAAAUGCACUUCUCCAAAAGUUAAGUGGAGGUGUACUAUCACUUAGGUUGGCGCAAAAUCCAAAUCUAUGUGAAUCUGGUCCUUGUGACCAACAGACAAAAGAUAAAAGCAAGGAAAGCAAUCCAGUUAUUUUUAUACUAGCAUCUGUUUCUGCAUUUUUGAUGCUCCUACUGGUAGUUCUUGCAGCAGUUAACAUCAUUUACAUUAAAAAGAGAAAGCUAAAAGGCACAAUAGAAGAUGGUAUUAUCACAAAGACAAUCGUUUCUGGUUUAUAAGAGUUCCCAACAUGGAGACGCUUGUUAGAAUGAACACAUACGAGAGAGGAUCUUAUCACUGUUUCGAUCCAAACACAUUUGAAACUGUUCGCAAGGAUAACUUUGUUAUACAUUAUGAAAUGUUGGAAAAGAGACCGCCUCUACCACAGCAUCGAGUAGGAAUCAAAACCUUUAUUGUAGAGUUUCAAUUGUAAAUUUUCAUUCUGGAUUUUAAUUCCUCAGAAUGUCAUUAGCAUAAGUAUUCCUUUAGUUUGGGCUUUCUCGUACUAUAAUGUUGCUUGAGUGAUCCAAGCACUUCUUCUUUAACUGCCCUAAUUUGAACAAAAGAAUUAUGUUACGUAGGUUUUUCAAUAACCUAGUUAUCUGAUGGGUUUUGUCUGCCCCCUAGCUCCAAUGCACAGGAAAGAAAAGCACAUUUGUCAAUAUUUGAUACGGUUCGUAGGAAUUAUGCGUCAAAGUUAACACCUAGCUGAAUAAUGAUUUAAUUAAUCUUAACCUGUUAUCUCAAUCUGACAGGCCAAAAACUAAUCUGUUACAAAUCAAGGUUUCAUUUAAGAGUUUGUUUUUGGCUAAUGACUUGUAUGCACAA